rnacentral:rRNA from 1 species
UAGGGAAUCUUCCACAAUGGGCGCAAGCCUGAUGGAGCAACGCCGCGUGAGUGAAGAAGGUCUUCGGAUCGUAAAACUCUGUUGUUAGAGAAGAACAUGCAGGAGAGUAACUGUUCUUGUAUUGACGGUAUCUAACCAGAAAGCCGACGGCUAACUACGUGCCAG